CAAGAUAAAAGGGGGGAAUUCCUCAGAGGAGCAGAGUGCCGCAUCCAAGUGGGGCUUUGUCCUGACAGCUACAAGCAGAGUUCCUGAGUUAAAAAAAAAUUAAUGUGUCAACCUUACAGCAACCACCAUGAGUUGUAAAUCGCAAGAGCCAAGGAAAAGCUAGCCCUAUCAUUCAUCUUUUCCUUUCCCUCUUCUAAUUGGUCAAAAGAAAGAAACAAGUACCACUAAAUUACCAUAUUCUCUGAUCUAUGAACGUGUCCACCUUAUACUUCUGUGCUGAGUGAAUUUAGGGCCAUUUAAAUGAG
rnacentral:lncRNA from 1 species